rnacentral:rRNA from 1 species
GACGAACGCUGGCGGCGUGCUUAACACAUGCAAGUCGAACGGAAAGGCCCUGCUUUUGUGGGGUGCUCGAGUGGCGAACGGGUGAUUAACACGUGAGUAACCUGCCCUUGACUUUGGGAUAACUUCAGGAAACUGGGGCUAAUACCGGAUAGGAGCUCCUGCUGCAUGGUGGGGGUUGGAAAGUUUCGGCGGUUGGGGAUGGACUCGCGGCUUAUCAGCUUGUUGGUGGGGUAGUGGCUUACCAAGGCUUUGACGGGUAGCCGGCCUGAGAGGGUGACCGGCCACAUUGGGACUGAGAUACGGCCCAGACUCCUAAGGGAGGCAGCAGUGGGGAAUAUUGCACAAUGGGCGGAAGCCGGAUGCAGCAACGCCGCGUGCGGGAUGAAGGCCUUCGGGUUGUAAACCGCUUUCGCCUGUGACGAAGCGUGAGUGACGGUAAUGGGUAAAGAAGCACCGGCUAACUACGUG